CUAAACUGAAAUGUUUUUCUUUUUAUUAAACAAACAUAUCCAAAUACAAUGACAAUAACAAAAAAGGUAACACAGUAAUGCACGUUAUAUAUUUUGUGAACACCAACAUAAUAAAAAAAGACAUUAUGCAAGAACAAAAAAACAUAAAUAAAUAUGCAAUAGUAAAAUAUAUUCUAUCUCUAACAAAGAGGAGUAAGUUCUCUCUAUUACAAUCAUGAACUGAUGUCUAUAGUUAUAUCUUUACUACAGACAGAGUAACAAAUUAGAUGUUAUAUUCAAAAUAAAUGUAUUAAAAUAAGUUUUGGGUGAUAAAUACUUUUUUAGAAAAUUGAUACUGAUUCUUUGUAAUUGCUUUUUGAUUUGGAUCCAGAUAUCAACAAGAAUUAGUAUUCCAGAAUUUUUCACUAAAUUGUGAAUGGGCAAAAAUGCAAAAUGAAUACAAAGUGAAUUACAGAUUUUAGGUCAGAAUAACUAAAUUUAAACAAUUCUCAAAGUGAGCUAUAUUUUCAGGCCACAAAGCACACCGAAGCUGUGGCCACGUUUGUAUAGUUAAACUUUCUGUAGGACGUGGUUGUGAAAGCAUGAUGGGUAUAUAUUGUGGUUUGUUAAGAAUUGAUUAAAAUACUCCAAAUAUAAAUAACGUUUGCUACUGAUACAAUGGUAUACCCUAUAUUAUUCUCAUCUGUUUAUUGGGUUAUAUUUUGUAGUUAGCUCAGUAGUUAUCAUGUAUCUUGGCCAAUGCUAUUUUCUACAAUUAAGAUAAAGAAAUGUUUUAAAUGUAUAACACCCCCACAGAGUCCUUUACCUAUGCACCUCCUCUCACAUCAUUGCAAGAAAAAAACUGUAACCCAAUAUUGCAGGCUGAUUUUAGAUAGGUGUGAUUAUCCCUACCUCUUCCUUAAAGGGCACCCCUUUACUCAGGGGUGGGAGGAGUUUUCUUUUCUUAGACCAUACCCCCUCUCAAGCCCAUGUUCCCCUUUCUAUAACCUCUGUCCCCCUUUCACAGC